rnacentral:lncRNA from 1 species
UUUUUUAUUUUAUUUAUUUUUUUAAUUGUUGUAAACCCCACCCAGGCUAGGCCUUAAGUAGGUUAAGUGAUAGCCAAGAUGAGACCAGUAUUAAUGAUACUUGCAGCCCAUUUUGCUCUGUUGUUCUGGGAAUGAGGGAGUCAGCGCCCUGUGUGUCUUUUAGUAGUGGUUGCUAAUAGAUUUUCAUCCUCUCUUUAGGGUAUCAACAGGAUGAGAAUGAAGAAGGGACAGAGAGGCAGGCUGAACUCCUUCCCUAAGGAGUCAGAGCAAAGGGACAUGACAUGACAAUCUCCGAUCUCACAGGGACUUCAGACCCAGAACAGGAAGGUGUUUCACUGGGAGACACAGUAACAUGAGAACUAAGGGCCCAUCUGUCUUUUACUCCCAGUAGCCUGUGUCUGGCAAGUUCUCUCUCCCACUAAAGCCCCAAGCUCUAGGCCUUGUUCUGCUUGAAGCUACUCUGUACAACCUGAGGCAGCCCCAGUAUAAAGCAGAAUGGAGACAGGAAAUCCUACAGUUUAGAGAAUGAAAGGAUUUCUUUUCCUUCCCUAAAUGACCUUGACAAGCUAGAAUCAGACCACACUUUGUUUCCCAGGGCAAUAACACCCAGUCAAAACCUAUCAGAGUUGGCAGGGCAGUUCCAGCCAGAUUGUCCCGGGAGGACAAUAUUCUCUGGGAAUCUAUCCUGGCAUUUGUGUGGAGAUGCCAGGUGACAGAAAUACUGCCAAAAGCCAGGGCUCGGCCAGUGGAGAAAAGGAAUGAUAAGCAGCAGGACUGGAAAGUGUCAUGUGAGGAGAAAUCUGAAGGGGAGGGAAGGAUGGGACCCAGUGAGCAAAAGGCAAGUGAAAGCGGUAGAAGUGUAAUGUCUGCUGGACAAACAUGGAGAAGGGUGCCCAAAGCACCAAGACUUCAGGACCCCAGGGAAGCUAUAAAGACUUAAUGGUUACUACAGGAAGAAGGGGUGGAAAGAGGCCAGCAGAAGAAAACCUUGACAUCUGUACAAUUUCUAAAGGAAUUCUGAGUUUACAGGUGCAGAGAGGCUAGAAGAAGAUUCUUGGUUUGUUUGGGGGUAUCUUCGAAGUUUUGAGGCUUGCUUUUGUUUUGCCAGCAAAGUAUGAACGCCUCGGGCCAGUUCUUUGACUUAGUCCUACCUAAUGAAUAAUGCCCAACAUAUUUACCCCAGUCUAAUACGUGCUAAUUAUGCUCUGCACUUACCAAAAAUGGCUUUGACCUUUCUUCUGCUUGAGCAAAAAGAAAAAUCCCACAAUGAUUUGAUUGUCAAAAUUUUAAAAAGUGGGGGGGGGGCGGUUCUUGGCACUGUACAUGAAUAGCAAGGAGCAAUGCAUAAAAGCUCUCAAGUGUCCCCAAGUGGCAGAAGGAAAAAACUGUCAUUCCGUCCUGGAUACUUAGAUUGGUCCAUCUUUAGAGACGCUAACCUUCUAAAACCAAACCAUGUAUAAAACCAAACCAUUCUCCCAGCCAAGAUAUGAAACUCCCAGGUUAUCAGUCCCAUGCCACUUCUCCCCAACCCCCACAAUCCAAUGACUUUUUGGGGGUUAUUUUAUACAGUUAUACAGCUAUCACCAAAAUCCUGUUUUAAAAAAUGUCCAUUACCUUGGAAACCCCCCACCUCACCCCCCGCCCAUGUCCUGAUGCAGAUGGGACUAUCUACAGCCUACCACCUCCAGCAAGGAAAGUGCUCAGCUCCCCUUACAAAUUGGGUAGAGAAUUUCAAUCUAUCUUGUCAAGGAGCAUUUCCUGCACCUCACGCCCCUGGGAUAUAUGCCCUUCCUCCGUCCUGCCUUCAGUGAGCAAGAGAGAUAGCGAGGUGCUAGGAGGGCCUUCAAGUGAACUAAGGAUAGUUUGAGGGCCACUCCUGAGCUAAGGCUUUUUCCAGGCUAAUUCCACACUUAAUUCCACUUCCUCCUAAGUCCUUGCUUUUGUGUUUGGCUUACUGUUUCUACGUUCUUUUGUUUUGUUUUGAACCAUUCUGUAAGCUUCUUAAGGUUGGGAGACUUGGAGGUUCUCUCCUCCUCUCUCUUCCUUUCUCUCUGUCUCUCUCUUCUCUUUCUUUCUCUCUUUUAUUUUUGAAGAUUCAAGAAAUUUCUGCAGAGACGUUUUUCUAAACCCAGCCCAAUCUCAUCUUGCUCUGUAAGUUCAGAACUUGUGCCCACAGGGGCAAGCUUGGCAAGAAAGGACAGGACGCUGAACUGGCAGAGAAGGGAGGUCAGUCCCCCAGCUGGAGAACAGCCUUCUCAGCAAACACUUGAGAUCACCACUAUCCUAGAGUUCAAGGUGUGAUCUCAACAAAAAUGCUACAGCUGCUCCCCGCCACUAAAAAGGUGGAGAGAGGAAGAAAGAUAGAAAGACACAUAGAGAAGGAGGAAGAGAUGGAAACAACAGAAGGGCAAAAGCCAGAAAUGCAAGGGAGAAAAAAUGUGGUGAAAAUGAGAAUACCUAGGAGAAGGGGAGGGGGGGGAGUGCAGAGAAAAGGAGGUGACUAGAAAGGGUGGAGGAGGCAGCGAUGAGAGAGCAGAAACCAAGGAAGGAGUCUCCCCUCUCUCUCUCUCUCUCUCUCUCACACACACACACACACACACACACAUAUACACACACACACCAAACAAAAGGAUAGGGAGGUGGCUGCUGAGACCAGGACAUCAAAACCCCAUGUCUCUGGGAUGUAUGGGCUCCCCUCCCGGAGUUCAAAUCUGGCCCAGAGCGCUGAGCCAGGAGCAAAGUUCCCCCCAAAAGCAGAACCUACCUCCAAUGCAAAGGUGGCCAGCUGUCCCCCUCUCUCCUUGGGGAUGAUUAGGCAGGAGGACUACCCCACGUCUCAGCCGAGUCUGACAGAUCCAGGGAGGCAUUUGGGAGUUCAUGCCGGAGAAUCAGGUGUAACAGAGGCCUGACCCCUGCCUUUGCUGGCAGCUGCAAAAUCGUCACCCCGGCUAUCUCGGCAGCACAGGGUGCAUCUUCUUUCGAUGCUCGGGGCACAAAAUCCACACAAAGAAGCUCAAAGUCAGAGAGGGAUGGCUUGGCAAAAUCCUUCACAGAAACCAGGUCAGGUCACAGCCUCUCUGUGUUUCUUCGAUGUCUUGAGAAGAGCCACCUAUAAGAUUGCUAGGAACAGAGCUAGAUAACUCCCCAGGAGGAGGAAGUGUCAUUUCUCUCAGUCUCCCUGAGAGCAGGGAGGAGCCUCUCUCUCUGAAGAGAUGACAGCUCCAUAGUAUCACAGACUAUCACUGUCAGGACUCUUGGCGAGGCCCAGCCUGGCUGCCUCUUGAGGAGCGUGUCCCCUCCGAGUCUUCCCUUGCCAUUUUGAAAAAAAGAUAAUAUUGACAUUGGUUUAACUGGCAGUUGCUUAGCAUUCAAAUUUCUGAAGAAUCGGGAGUGAGAUGAGGCAGCUUCAAUGAUUAGGUGGGGAAACCAGGAAGAAAGGUCCAGGGAGAAAGUUUGGGGGAGCUGCUUCCCCCCUCAUUUUCCAAAGGUCACACAUCUCGCCGGUCAUUAACAGCCCCUAAACCACUAUGUAGGAGGUGGUCCCAUUUCAGAAGCUGGGAGUAUGUAGUCUCCUGUUCUCCCUUGCUGCCCAAAUCAGAAGAUAGAGAGAACAGUCUGGAAGGUUGCUAUGGCAACCAGAGUCCCUGGAGAGCCCAGCUCUCCACAAACCCUUUACUUUUGGGCAUGCUCUGACUUGAAAAGGAAAUGUUUUAUUAGGGAUGGUGAUGACGAUGAUCACAUACACACAUAUAGAGAUACAUGCAUACAUGUUCCAACAUUUACCCUCACUGGAAGCAUCCCCAUUGCCUCUGUAGUGGGCCCUUCUCCCUUCUCCGAAAUAGCCAGAAGUAACUAAAGGAAUUUUGGAAAACCAGAACUUUAUGGCCUCGGAGCAGAUUUCCAAAUCAUGAACUCCUCUUAUCUGUAUUUCAGGUUUGGAGAAGCCAAGCUCCCAAUCACGGCAGCCUCUGGCCCUGAGAGGAUCCCACUGAACCUGUCUAAAGAGCAUCCUCCUUGUUGAAGGGUAAGAAGAGAGACUGAGGCCCGGCUCAAGAGGCUAAGCAGGGAUGUAAGGAGCUAAUAACCCAGUAUAGUCUACUCUUGGGCUUUGGAUUCAAAGCAGGAACUCUGUGAGGAAGGAGGUUUUGCCUCUGGGAGAUAGGAAAAUAGGCUAAUGAACUAAAAAUUCAAGUCCCUUACACAUUUGCAUAGCAUCAUCACCAGCUUCCCAGAUGAGUUCAUUGACAUUCCCCAUGAGGUUGGGAGGGGAGGACGUUAAUGUUCCCAUCGAAUGGCUGGAGAAACUGAGGCAUAGAGAGGAACUGUGGCACCCAGGUUACCCUGUCAGGCUGUGGCAAAAAUCCAGAUUUACAUCUGGCACCCACAGGAGCCACAGUGUCUCUCAAGAAAACCCUCAAAAGGCCAUCCCUCAUAAGUUGCUCUUUGAGAAAAAUUUUUUUUAAAAAUUCUCAUCGAAGAGUCUUAAAGCAUAGAUAUAAAAUUAAGAACAUGUUAACAGUCCUUUCGGUUUCUGAACUGCACCCAGAAGAGCUCAGAACAGUACAUCACAGUUUUUUCAAGGCAACAAACAAAUGACAGUGUUACCAGGAGAGAAAUGAGGGGGAAUGGGCAGGUGGGAUGAAGGCAACAGUUUCACGCCAGAAGAAGAUGAUCUAUCCUGUGGUGAUACCGCCACAUUACCUUACCAGUGAGGGUAGGUCGGCUGCAGCUCCCAGGGGCAGAGCAGGUGAAGGUUUGCUUGACUCAGCAAAAAAAAAACAAAAAAAACAAAAAAAAAAAAAA